AGCAAAGUUCACAUUCUCACAGGUCACCGAGGAGAAAUCAGCUGCGUUCAGUUCAACUGGGACUGUUCCCUCAUCGUCACGGCCUCUCUGGAUAAAACCUGCAAGGUGUGGGACGCAGACAGCGGUCAGUGUUUGGCUACUCUCUUGGGUCAUAAUGAUGAGGUGUUGGAUGUGUGUUUUAACUACACUGGUCAACUGAUCGCUACGGCCUCUGCUGAUGGUUCAUCAAGAGUGUUCAGCGCAGAAACCUUCCAAUGUUUGUGUCAAUUAGAAGGCCAUAAUGGAGAGAUAUC